AGCAUAUCAAUAAGCGGAGGAAAAGAAACCAACAGGGAUUGCCCUAGUAACGGCGAGUGAAGCGGCAACAGCUCAAAUUUGAAAUCUGGCUUCGGCCCGAGUUGUAAUUUGCAGAGGAUGUUUAUGGUGCGGUACCUUCCGAGUUCCCUGGAACGGGACGCCACAGAGGGUGAGAGCCCCGUCUGGUUGGAUACCAAACCUGUGUUAAACUCCUUCAACGAGUCGAGUAGUUUGGGAAUGCUGCUCUAAAUGGGAGGUAAAUCUCUUCUAAAGCUAAAUACCGGCCAGAGACCGAUAGCGCACAAGUAGAGUGAUCGAAAGAUGAAAAGCACCUUGAAAAGGGGGUUAAACAGUACGUGAAAUUGUUAAAAGGGAAGCGUUUAUGACCAGACUUGUGUCGUGUGGCUCAUCCGAGGUUCUCCCCGGUGCACUCCACACGGCUCAGGCCAACAUCGGUUCUCGUUGGGGGAUAAGAACAGUAGGAACGUGGCCCUUUUCGAAGGGUGUUAUAGCCUGCUGUACGAUACCCUGAUGGGGACCGAGGACCGCGCUUCGGCUAGGAUGUUGGCGUAAUGGUCAUUAGCGACCCGUCUUGAAACACGGACCAAGGAGUCGUCCAUUAGAGCGAGCGUUUGGGUGUAAAACCCGCACGCGUAAUGAAAGUGAAAUUAGGUGAGAGCUUCGGCGCAUCAUCGACCGAUCCUGAAGUUUACGGAUGGAUUUGAGUAAGAGUUUUAACGGACGGACCCGAAAGACAGUGAACUAUGCUUGAAUAGGGUGAAGCCAGAGGAAACUCUGGUGGAGGCUCGCAGCGGUUCUGACGUGCAAAUCGAUCGUCAAAUUUGAGCAUGGGGGCGAAAGACUAAUCGAACUGUCUAGUAGCUGGUUACCGCCGAU
rnacentral:rRNA from 1 species